ACUGAGCAGUGAUUUCUGAAGGGUCCUUCUAGCUAGGAGCCGUGCUUUCAGGCCGCUUCACUCCAUCAAACAGCUGAUAAAACGGUCCGGAGAGAGAGAGAAAGACAGACUGCUUUGCCUGAUGUGUAUUCCAGGGCUUGUGAAAUUGACCAGAUAAACUCCAUAAAGUGUAAUAAUGGCAUCUACCAACAACCGACGCUAACCACCGAAUAUUCGACCCCCUACUGCAGUGAACUGUAAGUACUUCACUAUCUAACGACCAGCAGAUGCAAUCAGCAUGUGGAAAUCAUCUAGGCCACACACA